UACGUAGGGUGCAAGCGUUAAUCGGAAUUACUGGGCGUAAAGCGUGCGCAGGCGGUUAUGCAAGACAGAUGUGAAAUCCCCGGGCUUAACCUGGGAACUGCAUUUGUGACUGCGUAACUAGAGUAUGGUAGAGGGGGAUGGAAUUCCGCAUGUAGCAGUGAAAUGCGUAGAUAUGUGGAGGAACACCGAUGGCGAAGGCAAUCCCCUGGACCUGUACUGACGCUCAUGCACGAAAGCGUGGGGAGCAAACAGG
rnacentral:rRNA from 1 species